AAACCCAUUUGUUUGCAGAGCAGGGUUGUCAAAUAUUUGAUGGUAUGAUGAUGUGGCAGACAUGUUUCUUUUCUGUUGGUAGGGAGCUGUAGGGAUGAAAGCUGUGGUGCAAGUAACUGGUUCAAGAAGAUAUUAGUGUUUGAAGGUCACAGCUGGGGCGCGGUUGUAUGAAACGGUAUAAAGUUCAAUUUAAACAUGCUCAAGUGACAACGUGCAGUUUGCACAAUUUCAUUCUCUGAUGUAGGCAGUCAAUAGUGAUUUGAAAAUAUGCUUUCUCCCUCAUUCUGAAUGUGGUACCAGUUGUAUUAUUCUAUCCUAAAUAAAAUAAAUAUGCUCCUGUUACCUUACGAUUAAAAUUUAUCCUUGGAGCUGCUUAUAACUGUACCAAAGAACACAUACUAGGAUAUUGUGUACAGCUAUUUUAAUGUCAGGCUUUAAAUGCCCCAAAACAUGUUAUCUUUAUCACAGUUGUUGUUUUAUUUGCUGUAUCAAUUAUAAAAUAUUCUAUUAAAUGUUGCAUUAAGUUGUAAACUCACACCACAGCAUAGAGGAAUAUGCAAUGCUGGACAAUUAGUUUAGCUUAUUAAAUGCUGUAAAAUCUGCAAUGAAAUGUUUUUUCCUCAAGAUAAAUAGUUUGUGUAACAGUACCGUAUGUUCCUUGUCUUAAGUUAAACACCUUGAAGAAUAAUACAGUUUUGACACAGUCAAAACUCUUAAACUUCAUUUCAAAGGAGGGGGAGGGGGUGUCCUGAAUGUGUUUUUUUUGUUUUUUUAACUAAAGAUUUAUCAGUAUUUGCUGCUUUUGACAAAUGAAGUUCCUUUAAGUAAACCAUGGUCAUUGUGGUUGUAUUCGGUACGAUCCGUUACUUGGACACAAAGUGAAGUCUCUGUUCUACACAGUAUACAAAGGCUGGCCUUCCUUUGGUUUGAACCCACAGCAGCCUGCAACUGCAUUGUGAGUACAUGCAUUACUGUAACCAUCAUAGUUCCUCAUGUUUGUUGUUCGGUAAAACAAAAAGAGCACAAUUAACCAAUGACCAUAACACCUUCUGCUGCCUCGACAUAUACUGCUGAGGGGAGUCCAGUGCUAAAGUGUCCACUGCCACUGCUGGAGCAUCCAGUGGCAAGCUCGGAGCUUGCUCAACAGGUGGUGCCACCCUCGGGAGAAGGACAGAAGGACGGACCAGUCAGGAACUGAUAGUAACGCUAAGCACCUCCCUCCAUAACCGACGCCCCGGAGGAGCAAACGGGCUCCAGCCAAGGGAUGGACUGCCAGCUCCCUGUACGCACCUGAGACAUGAGGUCCUACUUUACAUAAGGAUCCUGCGUCGUGGUGUUGGAGAGGGGGGAUCAAGCCUGAAGGGAGCUAAAUACAAGCCUUGCACUGGGACGAACAAACAGAUUAGUAGUGUCUUGGAUUGGUCACCUUAAACUAAUACUUUCCCUAAUUGCUGUUUCUACCUGGACAGUGUUUGGCAACUUGGAUUAAGUACAGGACCCACUAACUGAGAUUUCUAGGGCUUUCUUGGACCAAAAUGAAUGUCCUGGAACUAUCUCUUCACCAAAUUGCUGCUUGUAUUGUUCGAGACUGUGGUGUUGUAACAAUGUGUUGAUUUGAAUAAUUGAAAUCAUAAUAUCUGCCUGAAGUCACAAGUAGCCUGCUAACAAUGUUUUAUGGAAGGUUUUUCUUGGUGCCCAGUUUUAGAUGUUUUUAGGAUAGCUUUUGUACUGUGAUAUAGUGAAGGGUGGAUUUUGUAAAUCGUCUAAAAAUAAGCUGUAUUCAAUUGUAUCAUUUCCAGUAUUAAAGCAAUCAUUCUUUUUUACUUAACUGUUUGAGAUUUCUGUAUGCUCCUUGGGAAGGUCUGAGUGGUCAGUUUGAAAUUCAAAAUAACCUGUGGGCAAAGGGUUAUAAAGAUAAUUAUAAAAACAUAUACUUACCUGGAGUUAACAGUAUUAGACCCUGACCCCUAUGCAAAAUAAAAUGCUGCAGUUUAUUUAUCAAAAUAAUACACCAGAAAAAAACAUUCGCAUUAGAGUGAAAGUGAUCCAAGUCUUCUAUUAACCUCUGAACUCAAGGGGUGAAGGACCAACUUUCCUUACAGAAUAUGAUUCAACCUUUUGAAAAGUAUUUUGAUUAGUAUGUUUUCUAAAUGCAUUUCUGUACAGUGUUGCAGUACAAACGUGUCUCAACCUUUUAUUAAAUUGUUUUUCUUAACUUUACCAUGUGUUUCUUUUAACCACCCUCCCACUUCCGAUCUAGGACUAGUGGUUGACAAAUAUUUAUGUGGGCUUUUAUAAAUAUCAGUAUCAGCCAAAACUUCACUGAUAUUUGUUCUAAAAAAUUACAUGAAACAAAACGCUGGCAGAUAAGUUUAGUUUUCCCUGCGCAUCAACAUUGCAUUGCAAGAGUUGAUGUUGCCUAGCAGCAGGAGUCUCACAAGUCCACAUCAAGUUCACCUGGGAGUUGUCGAAGAGGUUUCACAGGCAGAAACUAAAGGUAAAGCCAAGGGAGGGUAGUCUACAUCUUGCUAGAAAAUGUAGAAUGUUGCUUCUACAUUGUUGCUUCAAAUUUCAGGGGACGCUAUUCUGCAUUAUGUAGAAAUUGCAGAUAGAAUGUUCAUGGACAAUACAUGGAUGAUAUGUAUUGCCUAUUAAAGUGUCUUAGAGUUUUGUAGUGUCCACAUAAUUUUCA